ACCUGGUUGAUCCUGCCAGUACCACACGCUCUUUUGAAGGAUUAAGCCAUGCAAAUGAUAGUUCAUACUAUUAAUAGUGAGACUGUGGACGGCUCAGUAAAUCAGUUAUAAUCUGUUCGAAAGUAUGCCCAUUGGAUAACCGUGGGAAAUCUAGAGCUAAUACAUGCAGCAAAGCGUCUAGCAAUAGGCGAGGCAUUUAUUGGAAAAAACCGAAUGUUACGCUUGGCGUAAUAGGGUGAGUCUAGAUAACUGAGCAGAUCGCAUGGCCAAGUGCCGGCGACGUUUCGAUUGAAUUUCUGCCCUAUCAACUCGUUGGUAAGGUAGUGGCUUACCAAGGUUGCAACGGGUAACGGGGAAUCAGGGUUCGAUUCCGGAGAGGGAGCCUGAGAAACGGCUACCACAUCCAAGGAAGGCAGCAGGCGCGUAAAUUACCCAAUCCAGACAAUGGGAGGUGGCGAACAAAAGUACUGAAUGGUGGACACUGUCUACUAAAUUCGGAAUGAGCAUAAAGUAAAAAGUUAGUCGAGUAACAACUGGAGGGCAAGUCUGGUGCCAGCAGCCGCGGUAAUUCCAGCUCCAGUAGCGUGUAGUAAAGUUGUUGCGUUUAAAACGCUCGUAGUUGGAUGAUACGGCGUUACCUGGUUGAUUUGCAUGGUAGACAAUAUCCCCCGUUCUUCGGAAGCAGCGUCAUUUAAUAGUGGCGUGGUCCGUGGCGCGGGUGUUUGCAGUGUAGAUUGUAGGCCGGGUAGCGCUACUUGCGUGCAAGGAUGGUAGUUGGCCCUUGAGUGCGUUGACUACCGUGUCUUGCAGAGUGUGCCUUGAAUAAAUCAAAGUGCUCAAAGCAGGUGAACGCCUGAAUGAUACAGCAUGGAACGAACAAACGUGUAGGUGUGGGUGCGAUUGUCGGGAAACCGGUCAAUACACGUACAUAUCACCAACCACUCGUACGGAUGUCGGUUUCCGUACAAGGGUGAUGAUUAAAACGAGCGGUUGGGGGCAUUGGUAUUUGGCCGCGAGAGGUGAAAUUCUUAGACCGGCCAAGGACUAACAAAAGCGAAGGCAUUUGCCAAGACCGUCUCGAUUGAUCAAGAACGAUAGUGAGAGGUUCGAAGACGAUCAGAUACCGUCCUAGUUCUCACCGUAAACUAUGCCGACCCGGGAUCAGUUUAGAGCUAAUUUCAACGCUCGAGGUUGGUCCCCCUGGGAAACCUAAAGUGUUUGGGUUACGGGGGGAGUAUGGUCGCAAGGCUGAAACUUAAAGGAAUUGACGGAAGGGCACCACCAGGGGUGGAGCCUGCGGCUUAAUUUGACUCAACACGGGACAACUUACCAGCGCAGAACGUUAAAAGGAUAAUCUGACCGACAGCUCAUAUUUGAUAUGAUGUGUGGUGGUGCAUGGCCGUUCUUAGUUCGUGAAGCGAUUUGUCGGGUUCAUUCCGGUAACGGACGAGACCUUUGUCUCCGUUUACGCUGCAGAAUUGCGAGUCUCGGCUCGCACAAGUGAGAUGUUGGUUGAAGGUGUAAACUGGAAAUGGGCAUUGAGCUAUGUUUCUGCAAUGUCAAUGUCGGUAAAACGGCAGUGACUGCACGGAGAGACAACUGAAUUAUAAAUCAGAGUAAGCAUAGGCAAUAACAGGUCUGUGAUGCCCUUAGACGUGCUGGGCUGCACGCGCGCUACAAUGAUGAUGACAACAAGCUAUCUGGUCCGAAAGGAUUGGGGAAUCUGGAAUCGUCAUCGUGAUGGGGACUGUCCAUUGUAACUUGGACAUGAAAUAGGAAUCCCUUGUACGUGCACUUCAUUCAAAGUGCGCGGAAUGAGUCCCUGCCCUUUGUACACACCGCCCGUCGCUACUACCGAGUGAAUGGUGUCAUGAUGCGUUGGGACUGGACGCCGUUGAGGUUAACGCUUGAAUGGUGCUAGAAUCAAUGUAAAAUGGCGCAAUUUCGAGGAAGUAAAAGUCGUAACAAGGUUUCCGUAGGUGAACCAGCGGAAG
rnacentral:rRNA from 1 species